GACAAACGCUGGCGGGGUGCGUGAGACAUGCAAGUCGAACGGGGUUCAUCGGGCUUGCUCGGUGAACCUAGUGGCGGACGGCUGAGUAACGCGUAGGUGACCUGCCCGGAAGUGGGGAAUAACUGCCCGAAAGGGUGGCUAAUACCGCAUGUGGUCGGCGAAUCAGUUCGUCGUCCAAAGCCGCAAGGCGCUUCCGGAGGGGCCUGCGUCCGAUUAGCUAGUUGGUGGGGUAAUGGCUCACCAAGGCGACGAUCGGUAGCUGGUCUGAGAGGAUGAUCAGCCAGACUGGGACUGAGAACGGCCCAGACUCCUACGGGAGGCAGCAGUCGGGAAUUUUGCCCAAUGGACGAAAGUCUGAGGCAGCAACUCCGCGUGAGGGACGAAGGCCUU
rnacentral:rRNA from 1 species